rnacentral:rRNA from 1 species
GAUGCUAAUACCUGAUAACAACAGAUGAUGCCUAUCAACUAGUUUAAAAGAUGGUUCUGCUAUCACUCUUGGAUCGGACCUGCGGUGCAUUAGCUAGUUGGUAGGGUAACGGCCUACCAAGGCGAUGAUGCAUAGCCGAGUUGAGAGACUGAUCGGCCACAUUGGGACUGAGACACGGCCCAAACUCCUACGGGAGGCAGCAGGC